AUGCUUGCUUGGGAAGCAUGUACACUAAAAUUGGAAAGAUACACAGAGAAGAUUAGUCAAGCCCCUGCUUAAAAAUGACAUGCAUGUUUGAAACAUACUUGAAUUUUGC